rnacentral:rRNA from 1 species
UGUGCAGACGGUUUGCUAAGUCACUUGUUAAAUUCUUCGGCCUAACUGAAGGUAUGCAGGUGAUACUGGCGAUCUAGAGGGUGGAAGAGAGAAGUGGAAUUCUCGGAGUAGCGGUAAAAUGCGUAGAUCUCGAGAGGAACACCAAUGGCGAAGGCAGCUUCUUGGUCCAUUCCUGACGUUCAUACACGAAAGCGUGGGAGCAAACA